rnacentral:rRNA from 1 species
GGGCCCGCACAAGCGGUGGAGCAUGUGGUUUAAUUCGAUGAUACGCGAGGAACCUUACCAGGGCUUAAAUGUAGUGGGACAGGUCUAGAGAUAGACCCUUCUUCGGACUCAUUACAAGGUGCUGCAUGGUUGUCGUCAGCUCGUGCCGUGAGGUGUCAGGUUAAGUCCUAUAACGAGCGCAACCCCCAUCGUUAGUUGCCAACGAGUAAUGUCGGGAACUCUAACGAAACUGCCGGUGCAAACCGUGAGGAAGGUGGGGAUGACGUCAAAUCAUCACGGCCCUUACGUCCUGGGCUACACACGUGCUACAAUGGUCGGUACAGAGAGCAGCCACUACGCGAAUAGGAGCUAAUCUUUAAAAACCGGUCUCAGUUCGGAUCGCAGUCUGCAACUCGACUGCGUGAAGCUGGAAUCGCUAGUAAUCGG